rnacentral:rRNA from 1 species
UACGUAGGGUGCAAGCGUUGUCCGGAAUUAUUGGGCGUAAAGAGCUCGUAGGCGGUUCGGUAAGUCGAAUGUGAAAUCUCCACGCUCAACGUGGAGGGGUCAUUCGAAACUGCCGUGACUUGAGUACGGUAGGGGAGUGUGGAAUUCCCGGUGUAGCGGUGAAAUGCGCAGAGAUCGGGAGGAACACCCGUAGCGAAGGCGGCACUCUGGGCCGAUACUGACGCUGAGGAGCGAAAGCGUGGGGAGCAAACAGG